GAUGAACGCUGGCGGCGUGCUUAACACAUGCAAGUCGAACGGAAAGGCCGAAGCUUGCUUCGGUACUCGAGUGGCGAACGGGUGAGUAACACGUGGGUGAUCUGCCCUGUACUUCGGGAUAAGCUUGGGAAACUGGGUCUAAUACCGGAUAUGACGAUCUCGUGGAUGGGGUUGUGGAAAGCUUUUGCGGUAUGGGAUGAGCUCGCGGCCUAUCAGCUUGUUGGUGGGGGAAUGGCCUACCAAGGCGUCGACGGGUAGCCGGCCUGAGAGGGUGUACGGCCACAUUGGGACUGAGAUACGGCCCAGACUCCUACGGGAGGCAGCAGUGGGGAAUAUUGCACAAUGGGCGCAAGCCUGAUGCAGCGACGCCGCGUGGGGGAUGACGGCCUUCGGGUUGUAAACUCCUUUCGCAAUCGACGAAGCCUUUUGGUGACGGUAGGUUGAGAAGAAGCACCGGCUAACUACGUG
rnacentral:rRNA from 1 species